rnacentral:lncRNA from 1 species
CUUGAAAUAUUUUACACUCUCUUGAAACCAAUAAAAUUUAUGUUGUGUUAUUCUUAGAUUGCAUCUAAAUUUCCCUCUCCUAAGUACCAAAAUUUAAAACAUCAAAUCAUUCAACUAUUGAUCAUGUAAUUGAAAGCAAUGUGCAAUAAUCAACACAAAUAAACUCAUGGAAGAACUAAAAUAAAUACUUAUAUUAAAAUCCAAACACGUCUCAAGUUAUCGCUACAUCAAACCCUAGAUUAGAAAUUAGUUCAUGAAUAAGAGAAAAGAAAUGAUCAAUUCUAAUACUAGGAAAAGAAUGAGAAAAACUAUUUUGGUGCUUAAAUUCUUCUCCUUGAUGUUGUCCUUCUUUCUCGCAAUCAAUCUCUCGUUUUUUUGCCUUUUGUGCUGUCUAAUCUCCUUUCAAGAGUGAUCUUUAGGGUUACAUUUAUAGUGUUUUGAAGUUUCAAGAUGAGUUGAGGAUUCUAGGCAUCCAAAUGAUGCGGCAUGGGCGCCGUGUCGCCUAGCUCACUGUUAGUUUGUCAUGAAUUCUAGGCGUCCAAAUGAUGCGGCGUGGUACCCAUUUUGCUUUCUUCCACUUUAUGGCCUCGUUUUCUAAUCUUUGUUCCACUUCAUUUUUCUUCUUCUAUCUCUUCUCCAUUCUCACUUUCAUGAUCAACAAUUUAGCUCCAUUCCAUGCUCCAAACACGCUUCUAUCAUCAAGCUACCUAAUCUACAAAACAACAUGAACAAACAUAUAAAUUGAAAACUAAACUUUAGAGGUGCCAAUUCAUUGUGUGAAAUACAAUCAUAAUUGACAGAAGCACAAAAAAAUAGAAUUAGAAGGACUUAAGUUGAAAGACUUAAAGGUAAAGAAUUAUUUGUUUUGCAUAGAUAUUCAGGAUUCAAUAAAGUAAAAAUAUUAAGGCUCUUUCAAUUGAAGUGUGCACAACUUUAAGCUUCGAGAAGGAAUUUUGAGUCUUUACAAAUGAAGAAUGAUAAAUCUAUUACCAGCUUUUGUGCAAGGACCAUGGGUAUAGCCAACAAAAUGAGAUUCCAUGGUAAGAAGAUGGAAGAUGUUGCAAUUAUUGAGAAGAUAUUAUGUUCCUUAUUCCCAUUGAAGACUUUAAAGAUAUAGAUGCACUCUUCCUUGAUGAGCUCCUAAGCUCCUUAUACCUCCAUAAACAAAAGAUGAACAGAAGUUCAACGACAAAUGAGCAAGCUCCAAAGGCUUCCACCCUUACUGAAUUCUCGAAUUUUAGAGGAAGAGGAAGAGGAAGAGGUAGAUAUAGAGGAAUGAGAAGUCGAGGUAAUAGAUAUGUCAGUAGGUAAUCUCAAAAUUUUGAAGUUAACAAUUUUGGUGCCAAAAUUUUGGUCAGGUGCCAUAGCUUUGGUUAUUAUCGGUCUGAAUGUUAUACCAAGCUGCCUAACAAUGGAAAAGGAAGGGAAAUUGAACUUUUACAAAAUAAGGAAGUAGAAAUUUUGUUGAUGGCGGUUUAAGUCAAUGAGUUACGUUAGUCAGAUGUAUGGUACGUAGAUACAUACUGCAGCAAUCACAAGUGUGGAAGUAAGUAUUCUUUUUCUUACUUAAAUGAAAGGUUUCGUUCUACAAUAAGUUUUGGUGAUCGUUCUAAUGUCAAUGUAAUGGGAAAUGGAGAUAUUAGUGUAAGAACCAAGAAUGGUUUUUUAAAUACAAUUUCCAAUGUUUUGUAUGUUCUUGAGUUGAAAAGCAAUUUAUUUAAGUGCUAGACAAUUGCAUGAAAAAGGAUAUGUAAUUACUGUUAGGAAUGGUGCAUGUGAGAUAUAUGAUCCUUCUAGGAGAGCUAUUGUUAUUGUUCAAAUGAGUUCAAACAUGUUGUUUCUAUUGAAGAUCGAAAGUGCUCAACCUUCCUUCAUGGCCGGAGUGAAAGACUCUUCAUGAUUUUGGCAUUUUUCCUAUAGCCACUUGAAAUUUGGUAGAUUAAAGACCCUCUAAUAAAAGAAUAUGGUAACAUGCCUUCCUCAAAUUGACACUCUUUCUCAAGUUCAUGAAGAAUGUGUUGUUGGUAAACAACACUGUUCUCUAAAUCCUCGAGAAAAAACAUGGAGAGAAAAAUAUGUAUUAGAGCUGGUUCAUUUCAAUAUUUGUGGGUCGAUAAAACGAUCUUGUAAUGGGAGUAGGAGAUACUUGACUUCCUUCCUUGAUGAUCAUAGUCAACAACUUGGGUUUUAAAAGCUUCAAAGCUCGUGUUGAAAAUGAAAGGGGAAAAACAUUAAAACUCUUCGUAUUGAUCGUAGUAGAGAAUAUUGCCCAAAAAGUUUGAAGGUUAUUUUUAUUUAUUUAUUUAUUUAUUUUCUUUUUUACGCUCAUGGCAUUCGAAGAGAACUUACAGCUACUUAUGCAUCGCAACAAAAUAGUGUAUGAGAGAGGAAAAAUAAAACCAUCUUCAAAUUGUGAGAAGCUUGCUAGUAAGAGGGAGAGUUCCAAAGAAUUUUUGGUCAUAAGUAGUGAAUUGGAGCAUUCAUGUCUUGAAUAGGAGUCCUAUUUUUGCGGUUCAAAAUAUGACAUAAAAAUAGUCUUAGAGAGGGUGAAAACCACCUGUAUAUCACUUCAGAAUUUCAGUUACUUCACAUAGGUACGUCCUAGAUGAGAAAAGAAAGAAGCUUGACAGUGAGGGUGAAAAGUGUGUCUUUUUCAGUGCAAGUGAAACGUCUAAGCAUAUAAUUGUUCAGUCUACUCACGAAGAAGAGUUUAACCACUAGGGUUGUCAAUUUCUAUGAGUAGAACACUUGGAAUUGGAAUGGACAACAACCUACUCAAGUUAUUUUUUAUAGUGAAUUUAAAGAAGAAAUACAGCAACCCCUACACCAACAAAUUCCAAUGACUUCUAUGCCCGAAAAUCCAUCAAAUGUAGCUCCAACCAGUGUUGAAACUUCACCAACAACAGCAGAAGCCACUAAUGCAACAAUUGAAUCGCAUCUUCACCGUAUUCAAAAGAGCCCCACAUAGAUGAUAGACUGUGAGGUGACUUGACCAAACUGAAGAUCCAAUCACCUACUUUGCUUUAUUUUCAGAUUGUGACCCUACAACUUUCAAAAGUGCUGUCAAAGAAUCAAAACGAUGGAAAGCAAUGGAUGAUGAAAUUAUAGCAAUUGAAAGAAACGAUACUUGGUAACUAUCGAAUCUUUUAAAAGGCAUAAAACUAUUGGUUUGAAAUGGAUCUUCAAAACAAAACAAAAGGAGAAUGGUAAAGUUGACAAUUAUGAGGCGUGAUUGGUGGAUAAAAAGGAUAUAAGCAAGAGUAUAAGGUUGUUGCUGCUCCAAUAAUAAGGCAUCAUUCAAUCAGAUUUGGUGAUUGCAUUGGCAGCACAACAUUCAUGGCCUAUCUUCUAGUUGGAUGUCAAAUCGACGCUCUUGCAUGAAUACUUGGAAGAACAUGUAUUUCUCGAUCACCUCCACAUUAUAUUAAAAUUGGAAAUGAGUACAAGGUGUAUAGACUAAAGAAAGCUCUUUAUGUGUUGAAAUAAUUCCCAUUGGCUAGGUAUUGUUGUAUUGAGGCUUAUUUUUAAUUUUUUUUUUUUCCAAAAAUGUUCAUAUGAGCACAUGCUUUUUGUUAAAGUUAUAGAUGGAGGGAAAAUGCUAAUUGUCUG